GGAGGAAUAUUGGUCAAUGGGCGAGAGCCUGAACCAGCCAAGUAGCGUGCAGGACGACGGCCCUACGGGUUGUAAACUGCUUUUAUGAAGGAAUAAAGUCACCCACGUGUGGGUGUUUGCAUGUACUUUAUGAAUAAGGACCGGCUAAUUCCGUGCCAGCAGCCGCGGUAAUACGGAAGGUCCGGGCGUUAUCCGGAUUUAUUGGGUUUAAAGGGAGCGUAGGCCGCCUGGUAAGCGUGUUGUGAAAUGCCGCGGCUCAACCGUGGCACUGCAGCGCGAACUGGUUUUCUUGAGUGCGCGCGACGCAGGCGGAAUUCGUGGUGUAGCGGUGAAAUGCUUAGAUAUCACGAGGAACCCCGAUUGCGAAGGCAGCUUGCGGGAGCGCAACU
rnacentral:rRNA from 1 species